GUUAAGCGACUAAGCGUACACGGUGGAUGCCCUGGCAGUCAGAGGCGAUGAAGGACGUGCUAAUCUGCGAUAAGCGUCGGUAAGGUGAUAUGAACCGUUAUAACCGGCGAUUUCCGAAUGGGGAAACCCAGUGUGUUUCGACACACUAUCAUUAACUGAAUCCAUAGGUUAAUGAGGCGAACCGGGGGAACUGAAACAUCUAAGUACCCCGAGGAAAAGAAAUCAACCGAGAUUCCCCCAGUAGCGGCGAGCGAACGGGGAGCAGCCCAGAGCCUGAAUCAGUGUGUGUGUUAGUGGAAGCGUCUGGAAAGGCGCGCGAUACAGGGUGACAGCCCCGUACACAAAAAUGCACAUGCUGUGAGCUCGAUGAGUAGGGCGGGACACGUGGUAUCCUGUCUGAAUAUGGGGGGACCAUCCUCCAAGGCUAAAUACUCCUGACUGACCGAUAGUGAACCAGUACCGUGAGGGAAAGGCGAAAAGAACCCCGGCGAGGGGAGUGAAAAAGAACCUGAAACCGUGUACGUACAAGCAGUGGGAGCCUCUUUUAUGGGGUGACUGCGUACCUUUUGUAUAAUGGGUCAGCGACUUAUAUUCUGUAGCAAGGUUAACCGAAUAGGGGAGCCGAAGGGAAACCGAGUCUUAACUGGGCGUUAAGUUGCAGGGUAUAGACCCGAAACCCGGUGAUCUAGCCAUGGGCAGGUUGAAGGUUGGGUAACACUAACUGGAGGACCGAACCGACUAAUGUUGAAAAAUUAGCGGAUGACUUGUGGCUGGGGGUGAAAGGCCAAUCAAACCGGGAGAUAGCUGGUUCUCCCCGAAAGCUAUUUAGGUAGCGCCUCGUGAAUUCAUCUCCGGGGGUAGAGCACUGUUUCGGCAAGGGGGUCAUCCCGACUUACCAACCCGAUGCAAACUGCGAAUACCGGAGAAUGUUAUCACGGGAGACACACGGCGGGUGCUAACGUCCGUCGUGAAGAGGGAAACAACCCAGACCGCCAGCUAAGGUCCCAAAGUCAUGGUUAAGUGGGAAACGAUGUGGGAAGGCCCAGACAGCCAGGAUGUUGGCUUAGAAGCAGCCAUCAUUUAAAGAAAGCGUAAUAGCUCACUGGUCGAGUCGGCCUGCGCGGAAGAUGUAACGGGGCUAAACCAUGCACCGAAGCUGCGGCAGCGACGCUUAUGCGUUGUUGGGUAGGGGAGCGUUCUGUAAGCCUGUGAAGGUGUGCUGUGAGGCAUGCUGGAGGUAUCAGAAGUGCGAAUGCUGACAUAAGUAACGAUAAAGCGGGUGAAAAGCCCGCUCGCCGGAAGACCAAGGGUUCCUGUCCAACGUUAAUCGGGGCAGGGUGAGUCGACCCCUAAGGCGAGGCCGAAAGGCGUAGUCGAUGGGAAACAGGUUAAUAUUCCUGUACUUGGUGUUACUGCGAAGGGGGGACGGAGAAGGCUAUGUUGGCCGGGCGACGGUUGUCCCGGUUUAAGCGUGUAGGCUGGUUUUCCAGGCAAAUCCGGAAAAUCAAGGCUGAGGCGUGAUGACGAGGCACUACGGUGCUGAAGCAACAAAUGCCCUGCUUCCAGGAAAAGCCUCUAAGCAUCAGGUAACAUCAAAUCGUACCCCAAACCGACACAGGUGGUCAGGUAGAGAAUACCAAGGCGCUUGAGAGAACUCGGGUGAAGGAACUAGGCAAAAUGGUGCCGUAACUUCGGGAGAAGGCACGCUGAUAUGUAGGUGAAGCGACUUGCUCGUGGAGUUGAAAUCAGUCGAAGAUACCAGCUGGCUGCAACUGUUUAUUAAAAACACAGCACUGUGCAAACACGAAAGUGGACGUAUACGGUGUGACGCCUGCCCGGUGCCGGAAGGUUAAUUGAUGGGGUUAGCGCAAGCGAAGCUCUUGAUCGAAGCCCCGGUAAAC
rnacentral:rRNA from 1 species